GAUGAACGCUAGCGGCAGGCCUAAUACAUGCAAGUCGAACGAUAUCAUGCAGCUUGCUGGAUGAGAAAGUGGCGCACGGGUGCGUAACGCGUAUGCAACCUACCUUUAUCAGGGGGAUAGCCCGGAGAAAUCCGGAUUAAUACCGCAUAAAAUCACAGGAUGGCAUUAUCCAAUGAUCAAACAUUUAUGGGAUAAAGAUGGGCAUGCGUGUCAUUAGCUAGUUGGCGGGGUAACGGCCCACCAAGGCGACGAUGACUAGGGGAUCUGAGAGGAUGGCCCCCCACACUGGUACUGAGACACGGACCAGACUCCUACGGGAGGCAGCAGUAAGGAAUAUUGGUCAAUGGGCGGAAGCCUGAACCAGCCAUGCCGCGUGCAGGAAGACUGCCCUAUGGGUUGUAAACUGCUUUUAUCCGGGAAUAAACCUACUUACGUGUAAGUAGCUGAAUGUACCGGAAGAAUAAGGGUCGGCUAACUCCGUGCCAGCCGCCGCGGUAA
rnacentral:rRNA from 1 species